UUACACUAUUUCAUUUGAACCAAAAAGUUAAUCGAAUUAAACGUUAUUAACAAUAAUAAUGCCGAAAUUAAUGUUGUUGUUCAUUUGACUGAAGAAGUAUCAAUACUUGUUGCCGUAAGAUAUCUUGGAGUAAGCAAAUCGUCGAUUUACCGUAUUUAACGAAAACAUAAAAUGCAUCCCUAUUCUUACAAUUUGUGUCAAAAUUUAAAACCAACCGAUUUUAUUAAACGAGUAUUAUUUGUUGAAUUUUUAAUAAUAAAAUGCCAGGAAGACGAAGAUUUUUUAAAAAACAUAAUUUGGUGCGACGCAUCGAAAAUCACGAAAAAUGGAUUAUUUAAUUCCCAUUAUUGGAGUCAAGAUAAUCUUCAUUUAACCAAAGAUCGGUGGCAGUUCAAUGUCUUUUGUGCUAUUAGAAAUAAUCAAAUACUUCAUUUCUACGAUGGGAAUUAAUGGUGAAAGAUAUCUUGAUAUUUUAAGAAAUUUAAAACAAAAUUAUUUAGACCUUGCCACCAGACGAAUUAAACAAUCUUUUUUUUAUUCAUCAUAAAUAUAUUUUUAGAAGAGCAAUUUGAAGACAGGUGGUUAGUAAAUAAUGGUCCUUUUCGGUGGUCCCCUCGUUCUUCCGAUAUGACGUCUUUAGAUUUUUUAUAUGGGGUCACAUAAAACAAGAGGUUUACUCCCAAGCCUUAACAACUAGAGAAGAUUGUUAGCUAAGAAUUCGAAAUUCCUUCAAUUUUCUUCCUGAGAUGGUGAUAAGCUGUGUGAAGAAUAAUAUAUAAAACAUCAGACUAUUUUCUUUUGGCAUUUAAUAUUUAGUAUUUUUUCACCCUUUACUUCAAAAUAUCUCCGAAAAUACUGGAGAUACCGAAAAAAUAAUAGUAUACUAAAUAACAGCUUUUUUAAGGACUAAAUUUUUUUUGUAGAUUUUGUACACAAGGAAUAUUUGGCGAGAUAUAGCCGUUAAAAACCUCUAUUUACCAGCAAACACCUCCUUAUUCGAUCCCUUCAAACUACUUCACUCAAAUCGAAAUAGAAAAGAAGCAAUAUCUGCUCGUGACUGCAUGUGUUAGUUUAUAUAUUUCGUUGAUUCCUCACUAGUGUGUUCUAAAGUUCGAAAGAAAUGACAAGUGCUGUGAUAAUUUCCCUUCUGCCCACUGUUGAUCCAUUAGAUAAAAUUAAUGAACCAUAUUUGUAUAUUUCAUUGUAUGUAAUGCAUGAAUAUGUAUGUGUUAAUGUAUUUUUUUCUAUUUAUUCGGUUGGUACAAAAUAGUAUAGUAUAGUAGUAGUAUAAAAUAAAACACUUUUUUUUAACAAAGAAUAGUUUUUAAUCAAUUAUAUAUUUAAUAUUUUGCUCAUUGACCUUUCAGCUUCAUGAUUCCGGGCUCAUAAAAUUUCUGGUCCUUAUUGGCAAAAAACUGAACCAGGUGUGAUUGAAGAUCAUCGUUAUCUGUGAAAGUUUGACCAUUCAAAGAACUCUACAGUAUGCUAACUGUCCUAACCUAACCAUUCAAAGAAUUCUGCAGCUUAGGGGAUGUGGCAUCACUUCCUAGCUAAACUCCAAUAGUUUUUUGUUGUUUUUCAGCUUUCGAUGUGGUUUGUGUUGGUUCAUGAUCGUUUUCGAACUAUGUUACUGUACAGGACCCAUUUUUCAUCACCAGUGAUGAUUUUUUUCAAGAAAGGAUCAGUUUCAUUUCGUUAAAGGUGCAUAUCGCAUAUAUUGAUUCUUUGUGUUGAAUGAAUUUCUUCCAAUUCGUGUUUUUCAAUUGUUGUGUGCGUUACAUGUAUCCUCUUCGCAACCUCUCCAACAGUUAUAUGACGAUCCUCUUCAAUUAUGACUUUGAUUUGGUCAUCAUCAACUUCAGUAGGCCGACAAGAACGUUGCUCAUCUUUCGAGGGAAAAAUCUCCAGAACGGAAUUUUUUAUACCAAUUCUAACACGUGCGCUCUGUUAAGCAAUCACUUCUAUAAACUUCACAUAUUUCUUUGUGAGCCGCAGCAGCUUUCUUUCCAUUACGGAAAUAAAAAAACUAAAAUAUGACGAAAGUGUUCGUUUCUGCACUCAAUUUUAAAUUUACUAAACAAUUAAUAGCUUUGAUAAAACUCACGCACUACUUGCUUCUAAAUUUACAUCAAUGUGACAAACGGCAAAGCACAGCACCAACAUAAGUUAUUCCAAAAAUAAAGCGAAGCUCUCUAUCAGCAAAAAGCGAAAGUACUUUGUUGCCAACGUUAUAGAUCAAUUGAAUUAUAUUAUAAGAAUUACUGUUAUUAAGGGUGGUUUUAAAGGGUUGAAAUAUUAUGAAAUUGUAUCCUACAGUUAAAACAAUCCUUAUUUAACUAAUCAAAGCCAGAUUUUACCAAUUUUAAGGUUUAAAAUGUUAUUUUAUAAUUUUUUACAGUUAGGAAGUUUUCACCAUUAGAAACAAAAAGCGUACAACGGCACAAUGUGGAAAAUGAACUAAAUGGUGAAAUGAGCCUAAAUCCAAAUUUUUGGACAAAUCGAUUCAGGAUGAAAACAUUGCAAGGUUUUGCCUUUUUUGAGCUUCAUUUCCUGGACUACAUAACACUCACGAACUGCCUGACGACACGCGUUCAGUAUCACUAUCAUAGAUAAUGUAGGUGAUGGUUGAAAUUCGAAUAAAUAAAACACCAAUAAGCUA